GGCAGACCAGGGAAGAGAGCAGCUCUGCCACCUGCAGCUCCAGGGCAGAAGAGCUGAGUGAAGGCAGAAUCUCCCCCUACGACAACUGCCCCAAGCAGGGGAAAGCCCUAGGACUGCGCUGGCCCAGGAGGGUGGGCCAUAACCAGAGAGAGAUUGAGAUACCACACUACAUGGAGCCUUGUGGUAACUGAUGUCCUUUUUUGUGAUCCUCCAAAAACACACAAGCCUAGAGGAAGAAGUCCUUCAGAAGGGAAUGGAUUGAGGCUGUGGCUGACAGUGGCGUCCUUUCACCCUGACCUCUGCACCAGAAGAAGCCUUCUUCUCCAUCCACAGCUGAGCAGCAGGGGGCUGGGAAGAGAAGCUAAUUGAUGCUUUUCAGCAGCAGGAACCAAAGACACCCAGGCAGGAGAGCUUUGAUCCCAUACUGAGGGCUGCAGGAAACAGCCAGCCAGGGCUGCUGUGGGACUGUGCCGUCAUCCUUUGUCCUAAAGGACUGGCUAUUUCACAUUGUCGUAUCUGGUCCACGUCUGUGCUGCCUUUGUCCAUGCCUCUGAGUGGAACCCCCAUGCCAUGGAGGCCCUGAGAAGGAACCGGGAGUUGAACGGCAUGCAGGAUCAGUGUCAGAUUCACCAAGAGGAUAUCAGGCAGGAGGGGCCGAGGUGAAGCCUGCCAGCCAGACGACCCUUAGAGCUCUGCAUGCAGCCUCCGGCCACCCUCACAUUUGGAAUGGAGCUGCGGACACUACAGAGGGCCAGAUUUCCAGAAGAGCUCAGCACACUGGUGCUGAGCUUGCACAUCUGUUACCAAUGUGCAGGUUACUGGACUUCCACCAGCUGAGGUUCAGGCCUUGUAACCUUAGGCUCUGAUCCAUUUGGGCGGACCCUCACCCCUACACGGAGUACAGAAGUCAAUGGCCUACAGGGGGUCAAGGAUCAGAUUGCAGGAGCGGGGCCUAUUAUUCUGUUACCUUUGGUCUUAAAAAAAAAAAAAUUAAUCCCUGCAGCUUCCCUGUGACAAGAGCAAAAGUGCAAUGAUGGAGGAAGAAGCAUGAUGCUAUGCUGGGAGCAUUUUGGCGACAUGUAUAAUGUUUACUGGAACCCCCUAAGAAAGAUCCAAAUCUUGAAAGUUAAUAACCAGCAUAAGAUAGCAAUAAGAUAAAAGCCAGCGUUGGGGAUGGAGUUAAAGGAGUGAGUGAUGCCCCAGAUAGGGGAAGCUGAGAUGAUCAGUUAAUUAACUGCUGUGUCCGCUGUCUAAGGACGAGCUUGCCCAGCCAUAAUGGAUUCAACUGACCAAAGUCUCAUCUCUCCCUAACGAAUAUGGUGGACCCCUCUCUCUUUGGGCUGAGCGACUGCAAACUGUCACACGGCACCAUGUCAGUCCACACUCAAGGUUUUCUUCAGCCCCGUUAGGACUGGAAACUUGGGUGGUUUUGUGUUUGUUCACUUUUAGUAAAAGCUUAAAUUCUGCACAGCCCACAGCAGCUAUGAGAAAAGUGCUGCUAUAACAUACAAGCCUGGACUGGCUCAACCUGACCCCUGCUUGGUGAGCAAUUCCUCCAGUCUUUGCAUCCAUCUCUCUGUGGAAAACCCAGGGCCUGGGACAGCUGCCUCUGUCUCACAAAUGUCUUGGGAUAGCAGGGCGGAGAGGAAGCCUGUGAGGGAGAAGGAUGUGGUAGCCAAUUCCCUCUGUGACUCCAUCAAAGGAACAGCAUUGGCUGGCACUUGCAGAAGCAGUUGCUAGAUACCCAGGCUACAAGAACAAUAAAUCUCAGGGCUCCGAGCUGUUUGCAGACAUAGAGGAACAGAUUCUCUGACUUGCUUCAUUCAGGUGGUGGAAAGAGAAUUGGGACUGCCCCUUAGCUGGGAACAAACUCAGCAUGGGGGGGUCCCCAGCCGAUAUAGAUCCAGCAGAGUUGGCUCAUGCCUCUCCCUUCUCCACAGCCUCUGGCACAGGGGCCUGUCCAUCCAGGCUGGAGAAAGGCAGGGACUACUGUCCACUGGCACACCUUACAGCAGCCCAAAGGAUGCUCUAACUUGAACUUGCAGCUGGACAGAGAGCAAGGGAGCUGUAAGUAGAUGCCUGGCAGCUUUGCCCCUUUGCUGCAUGCAGCAGAAGCUGGACACAGGGAAGAAUCUGGCUCAGAGGGUGACUUUGCCUGGCACUUUGCAGAGGGAGCUUCCACUGGGGAGCACCUUUGUGUGUGUGUGUGUUUGUACACAUUUAGUUUUAUUGCAGCAAAGCAACUUCUUCACUUUAAUGUUUAAACUAGCAUCUUUCUUUCCUUUCCAGUGAACCAAAAAAAAAAAGAAUUUAAAAAUAAACAAGAACAAAAUUACAAUAGAGCACAUGCUGAACAGGCUCCGCUCUCAGGUGUCAGCAACACUGGGUGCGUGGCUCAGCUCACAGCUCUGGGAGGGUCCUGAGCUAUUGGAACAGCUGGCUUUUCUCUUCCUGCUUAACAGGGAAUGGUGUCAACUCCAGUGAAAAAGCAGGGAGGGGGGAGUGAUGCAGGACAAAACGCCUGAGCCAGCAGAAAGCCUGCGGUGAAGGUUUCCGAGGAGUCAGCUCCCUGGCCACAGCUGCUGCUCCGCUGUAGUCUGCUUCCUCCACGCCUGUGGUUUGCACAUUUCUCCCAGCUUGCUGGGCCAUUUAGGAACAAAGCAGAGAUUCUCUUUUAGCCCUGGGCAGGGGGAAUGCUUUUAGUGCCGCUUUGUUUGGAAAUCCACAGGAUGCCCUUUGCCCGGGUCUGAGUGGAUUAGGAAUUCCAGAGACAGGGCAUCAUGCAUGUCUGUUUUACAGUGCAGGAUGUUUUGACGCAGAUCCCAGCCUGGCUCGUGGAUCACACAGUCAUGGUGCCUGGGGUCAAGUAGCUCGUUAUAGGGUAACUGCUACAACCUUUGGCCCGCUCUGAGGAAGCUCAAUGAGUCUAUGGAAAGAUACAAAGAUCGACUUGCUAGAAAUGGUUCAGGUUUAGCAGCUGGAUGCAGCUGCCUUUACUGUAACAUUUUUUAAGGGCCAAAUCCUAGUUCCAAUAAAGUCAGUGGCAAAGUUCCCAUUGACCAGGGCCAAGACCUUGGCUUGGAGUAUUAAAGCAACAUCCCUAGCAAAUAAGAGCAUCUCAGCCUUUCAGGGCAGCUUUCAGUUCCUGGGCUGUGGCUUUUGUCAAAGCAGGACAUUGGACAAGGAGGAAGGAAAAGGAAGAGGAGGAAAGAGGACAAAUCAUAACUGAAAGUGGUGCCCUCAUUUCAAACAAGCCUUCACGUGAUCUACAGCACAUUCCAGCUCAAAUGAUCCUCAAGCACUACCUGUCACAGUGUGGGAUAGAUAGAGAGGGGCUACUGCAUCCGUCUCCAAAAUGUAGCCACCCCAGGAUGGAACAUGGCAGCUGUUUGACAGUUUAGGACAGGAAGUGAAGAAUACCAUAGCCAACUGAAAGCAUCAGGGGGGAUUUCAAGAGGAAAAAUAUAAUUAUCAGUGUUUGAAUGAGGCCAGGACACUGGGGUUAACACCCUGCCU